rnacentral:rRNA from 1 species
AGUGAACGCUGGCGGCAGGCCUAACACAUGCAAGUCGAACGGCAGCACAGUAAGAGUUUGCUCUUACGGGUGGCGAGUGGCGGACGGGUGAGGAAUACAUCGGAAUCUACUUUUUCGUGGGGGAUAACGUAGGGAAACCUACGAUAAUACCGCAUCCGAUCUACCGGUGAAAGCAGGGGAUCUUCGCGCCUUGCGCGAUUGAAUGAGCCGCGGUCGGGUUAGUUAGUUGGGGGGGUAAAGGCCCACCAAGUCGACGAUCCGCAGCUGGUGUGAGAGGAUGGUAAGCCACAUGGGAACGUGAACACGGACCAGACGCCUACGGGAGGCAGCAGUGGGGAAGAGUGGACAAUGGGCGCAAGCAUGAUCCAACCAGACCGAGUGUGAGAAGAAGGCCUUCGGGGUGUAAAGCCGGUUUGUUGGGAAAGAAAAGCAGCAGGUUAAUACGACGCGGGUCUGACGGUAACGAAAGAAGAAGCACCGGCUAACUACGUG